AUUAUCUAUCUUCUCUCAUUCUCUCUUUACUUUUGGAGACCCCUUGAAUCUCUACAGCUCUCCUCUUCCUCCUCCUUUUCAUCUCCAUCACCAACCGUUUCUUGUGCUCCAACGCCACUAUAGCAGCAACAAAAGGUUUGUCUCUCUAGAGCACCAACUGAACUCAAAAGCUUCUCUCAUCUUUUUUACCAUCUCUCAUCUUUUGCAAAGCAACAUGGUUAUUGACUUUGAGAUUGACUGUUUCAAAAUUGAACUUGUUUACAGAUACCUUUUUGAUUUUGAGAUCAAGUGUUGAUUUUUAGAAUGAUUGUUGAUUUUGAGAUUGAGUAUUUCAAAACGAAAAAAUUAAUUGCCUCUUAAUCCAUUCUCACGAUAGCCACUGUCUUCUUCUUCUUCUCUGCAGUAGUCGAAAUUUUCCCUUUCAAUUUUCUACUUUUUCAUCUUUCCAUCUCCCCAAAAAACUGUAUUGUUUCCUUAUGGUAACUCUCUCUUUCCUUAGAUUUAUAUUAUUUCUUUAAUCAAUUUUUGCAUUGUUACUAUGUUAAGUUGUUUGUCAAUUUCUCUUUCAUUUGGAUGCUGAUUUUCUUUUAUUUCCUCAUAAUUUUUAAGAGUAUGGAAAUAAUGUAACUAUAAUAUUCUGUGUUUACUUGUUUGGUUGUUUAAAGAUAAAAAUGGGAUGUGAUAAAAUUUUAUCAAGUUCUGAUUUGAGAAGGUUUUCCAUUUUUUUCACAAACUCUAGCUUCAAUUGAAAAAUGUACUUUUUGAUGAGGUACUCUUUUGUUGCUAGUGGUGGCUGUAACGGUGGCUGCAAUGAAUACUCUAUUUUUAUUUGUUAGUGAUAAUGGAUUCAUGUAAAAUGAUUUUUUUAGAUUUUGUCAAGAGUGCAUUUAUUAUUGUAAAAUAUC
rnacentral:lncRNA from 1 species